AGUCGUAACAAGGUAUCCGUAGGUGAACCUGCGGAUGGAUCAUUAACAAAGGUCCAUCCUUCAAAUUGUGAACUGGUCUUUACCACGGUUGGCACCGUGCCUGCAAGUUGGGUGAUUCCUCUUCGGGCACCGGGGUUGAUUGUAGUGGCACUCGUGGCGAAGCUUUACCACAGGCUAAGCUGCGGGGUCUGCUAGUGCCGAACGCCUGUAGGCACUAGUGGGCAGCUGCUGCGAUUAAGCCCGGCGUAGGUGUCAACUGUACCCUUAAUCGUAUUUACAAGAAGCACUGAAGUACGUUUCGUAACAGAAACAAAAAUUACAACUUUUAGCAAUGGAUCUCUAGGCUCUU
rnacentral:misc_RNA from 1 species